UAAGGAAUAUUGGUCAAUGGACGCAAGUCUGAACCAGCCAUGCCGCGUGAAGGAUGAAGGUCCUCUGGAUUGUAAACUUCUUUUAUCUGGGACGAAAACGGGAUUUUUAUCUCAAUUGACGGUACCAGAGGAAUAAGCACCGGCUAACUCCGUGCCAGCAGCCGCGGUAAUACGGAGGGUGCGAGCGUUAUCCGGAUUUACUGGGUUUAAAGGGUGCGUAAGUGGGCUUAUAAGUCAGUGGUGAAAUCUCCGAGCUUAACUUGGAAACUGCCGUUGAUACUAUAGGUCUUGAAUUAUCUGGAGGUAAGCGGAAUAUGUCAUGUAGCGGUGAAAUGCUUAGAUAUGACAUAGAACACCAAUUGCGAAGGCAGCUUACUACAUAUAAAUUGACGCUGAGGCACGAAAGCGUGGGGAUCAAACA
rnacentral:rRNA from 1 species